GUGAAGGACUGAGGCAUGGAAAGGUUACAGAAUGUUACAGAAUGUGCUAAGGGGAGGAAAUGGGACAUGAGAAAUUGAAUGUUCUGGGAGGGGGGACUGACGUAUAGAGGAUUGUGUCAAGGUUAGGAACCAUGGAAGAAAAAUUGCUAGAUUGUCUUAGGAAAACAAUGUGUUAUGAUACGCUCCAGCCAGGUGUGACUCUGUUUACCCCCCCUUUGUGCUUAUGAACUUUCUAUGAACUUCUAAGGUAACACUGUUGUGCUCUAAAGGAUCAUACUGCACCCUUGAUCUCUGCCACAUGCUCCGAAUCUCCCAGAGAGGGAGAUAGGUGUGGUGGCCAGCUGGCCAGCUUAAUAAAGGCUCUUAAAUUUAAAUUCU